rnacentral:misc_RNA from 1 species
CUCCAACCUGGCUUUCUGGCCAAAUAUUUCCUAACAUCCACCUGCAAUGCAGCCAACUCACCACUCUGAAUUGAACCCAAAUUCCAGGAGCUAGCAAAAUUUGAUGCAGGGAAGCAGUCAUCUGCCACCCUCAGCCAACAACUAAGAUUCAUGUUGAACAGGAAGGCAUGGCGUGUAGCCAAAACAACAAGAGGAGAACC